GCGAACGCUGGCGGCAGGCCUAACACAUGCAAGUCGAACGAACCUUCGGGUUAGUGGCGGACGGGUGAGUAACACGUGGGAACGUGCCUUUUGGUUCGGAACAACUCAGGGAAACUUGAGCUAAUACCGAAUGUGCCCUUCGGGGGAAAGAUUUAUCGCCAUUAGAGCGGCCCGCGUCUGAUUAGCUUGUUGGUGAGGUAAAGGCUCACCAAGGCUACGAUCAGUAGCUGGUCUGAGAGGAUGAUCAGCCACAUUGGUACUGAGACACGGCCCAAACUCCUACGGGAGGCAGCAGUGGGGAAUCUUGCGCAAUGGGCGAAAGCCUGACGCAGCCAUGCCGCGUGAAUGAUGAAGGUCUUAGGAUUGUAAAAUUCUUUCACCGGGGACGAUAAUGACGGUAGCCGGAGAAGAAGCCCCGGCUAACUUCGU
rnacentral:rRNA from 1 species